rnacentral:snoRNA from 1 species
GCCCUCUUUCAAAAACAGCUUACCACAGGCUGUUUUCUUACACUGACUGUAUAAAAAAAAAGGAGGAAAAUAAACCUACCCCAUGUAUACCUGAGCCUAGGCCCUGUGCCUGGUCUGUAUUGCGAGUGGAAGAAUGAGG